GACGCUCGACUCGAGUGUCAAGACCACCCGUACGGAUGAAGUUUGAGGAGAGAGGACAACCAGUGUUUAGCCGGCAGUUCCAAACGCCUCGGAUGUUUGCCGAGUUUAAGAAGAAGAUUUUUGGCUAUUAGAUUUGUAUAUAUGUAUAUAUUUCCUUGUUUUCUUUUAUUUUGCUCCCGGAGGUAGCAAGUUAAGAAAGGGGAGGAUGUAACCCUGACCCAAAAAGAGGUCUUGGGUUAUAGUAUUACUUUAUAUGACUGUGUUUACUAUUUGCAUAAUUCCCCUUUUCUAAUCUUUUAUGAUGUUUCAUCUUUUCUACUGGUGACUUGUGUUCCAGUAGACCUUUGAUCUUUUCCUACUUUUGUUAAAGCCUGUCUUUGAUCUUGCCCACUUCCUGGAAGAAUAGAGGAUGUCUUUUGUGUCCUCUGCCUUUUAUUACUGACUGGUGCCCCAGUUGUGUACUCCUUCAGGAGCUAAGCAGGAUGUAGGGACACUUAAUCCCUGGUUGUUGAUCACACCUUGCAGAAGCUGUGAAAACCACAAACUCUGCUGAGUGUUCAUCUGCCUGGUUACUAAAUGACCAAUCAGUAUUAGAGUCUUGUGUGACAAUUUGAAGUUUGACCAAUGAGAGCCUGGCUAGUCAUGUGAUCAGGGCAUGGUCUUGGUGCUAGCUGCCCCAAAAUUUUUGCAGAGCUUGGCAUUCCUGAUUCUGCCAUCGUGCUGACUGCAUGCCUGCCAUUUUCACCAGCCAUUUUGCAUCAUUUUUGUUGUUCGAUUGGAGGAUCCUGAUUCCAAGUUCCCUCCUUUUUGCACGAAUGUUGGCUCUCUGUUUUAGGCUAAAAAGACUGGACCGUGUCACUUCAAGGGAGAGCUAGGCGGAGCCCUCUGCGCGUUCCCCGAUCUGCCCUCAAGACACCACAUUGCCUGCUCCAGCACUUCCAAGAUCCAUCGGUAUCCCCGACGUCCGAGACCAACAGCUGUCCAGCACGUCGGAGAACCAUCAUUUCCUUCGGCAUCCAAGACAUUGGAGCGUCCCUAGACACAGCCACCAGCAUUGCCCUAGACAAAGCCACUUCAUCUUUCAAGACCUCGCAAGUAUCCCUUUGUUUUACGGUACCGACAAAUGACGAGAGUCGUCAUUUCUACUCCACCUUCAACUGAACCUUUCAUCAACUAGUCUACUUUGUCACUUCGUUCUUCUAUUGUCUUCAAGCUCUUCUACGCCAUGUAUGGACUCCCGAACUACCGCGGAUGGACGAAAUCGCGAGUUUAAUCAUUUUAUAGUUUUGGCGCCUUUUUUUCUGAGCUCUAGCUUUGUAUUUUAAAAUCUUACAGGAUCCUGUGUUUUCUGUGAAUUAUAUUUAACCUCAUUGCAUUUUUCAUUUGUAUUGCCAUUGCUUGAGACCACUUUAUUUCUGGCAAUAAAACAUAUUUCAUUGUGUACGUAAA
rnacentral:lncRNA from 1 species